rnacentral:rRNA from 1 species
AGUGAACGCUGGCGGUAGGCCUAACACAUGCAAGUCGAACGGCAGCACAGUAAGAGCUUGCUCUUACGGGUGGCGAGUGGCGGACGGGUGAGGAAUACAUCGUAAUCUACUUUUUCGUGGGGGAUAACGUAGGUAAACUUACUCUAAUACCGCAUACGACCUACGGUUGAAAGCAGGGGAUCUUCGGACCUUGCGCGAUUGAAUGAGCCGAUGUCGGAUUAGCUAGUUGGAGGGGUAAAGGCCCACCAAGGCGACGAUCCGUAGCUGGUCUGAGAGGAUGAUAAGCGACACUGGAACUGAGACACGGUCCAGACUCCUACGGGAGGCACCAGUGGGGAACAUUGGACAAUGGGCGCAAGCCUGAUACAGCCAUACCGCGUGGGUGAAGAAGGCCUUCGGGUUGUAAAGCCCUUUUGUUGGGAAAGAAAAGCAGCAGGUUAAUACCCCGCUGUUCUGACGGUACCCAAAGAAUAAGCACCGGCUAACUUCGUG